GAGUUUGAUCGUGGCUCAGGAUGAACGCUGGCGGCGUGCCUAAUACAUGCAAGUCGAGCGAACGGACGAGAAGCUUGCUUCUCUGAUGUUAGCGGCGGACGGGUGAGUAACACGUGGGUAACCUACCUAUAAGACUGGGAUAACUCCGGGAAACCGGGGCUAAUACCGGAUAACACAUGAAACCGCAUGGUUUCAUGAUGAAAGACGGUCUUGCUGUCACUUAUAGAUGGAUCCGCGCUGCAUUAGCUAGUUGGUAAGGUAACGGCUUACCAAGGCAACGAUGCAUAGCCGACCUGAGAGGGUGAUCGGCCACACUGGAACUGAGACACGGUCCAGACUCCUACGGGAGGCAGCAGUAGGGAAUCUUCCGCAAUGGGCGAAAGCCUGACGGAGCAACGCGCGUGAGUGAUG
rnacentral:rRNA from 1 species